rnacentral:misc_RNA from 1 species
AACCAAAUUUUGGAAAAAUGCAUAAAUGGCAUGUUGGACCUAUUGUGAAGUGAAAUAAUGGUCAAUUAUGACCAAAUAACUUGUGUGGGAAUAAUAGGAAACUAAACUAAAUUCGUAGGUCCAAUGGUCAUGUUNNNNNNNNNNNGACCAAACCCACUUUGGAGGAUCAAAACUCAAAUUUUACAAGCCCAAUUGAUAUGCCACCAAUUGGAGAUGAAAAUAGACAUAAAAUAGCACAAUUUUC